CAAUAGCGUAUAUUUAAGUUGUUGCAGUUAAAAAGCUCGUAGUUGGAUUUCGGGUGGGACGCAGCGGUCUCGCAUUGCGUUUGUACUGCUGCAGCCCUCCUUCUUGCCGGGGGCGGCCUCUCGGACUUCACUGUCUGGGGGUCAGAAUCGGCGAUGUUACUUUGAGAAAAUUAGAGUGUUCAAAGCAAGCUUACGCUCUGAAUAUAAUAGCAUGGGAUAACACGACAGGACUCUGGCCUAUCGUGUUGGUCUAUAGGACCAGAGUAAUGAUUAAGAGGGACAGUCGGGGGCAUUCGUAUUCCGUUGUCAGAGGUGAAAUUCUUGGAUUUACGGAAGACGAACAUCUGCGAAAGCAUUUGCCAAGGAUGUUUUCAUUGA
rnacentral:rRNA from 1 species